rnacentral:rRNA from 1 species
CACGUAGGGUGCGAGCGUUAAUCGGAAUUACUGGGCGUAAAGCGCUUGUAGGCGGUCCACCAAGUUUGGGGUGACAGUUGCCGACUUAAUCGGCAAAGUGCCUCAAAGACUGGCGGACUUGAGGGCCACAGAGGGACAUGGAACUCCAGGUGUAGUGGUGAAAUGCGUAGAUAUCUGGAAGAACACCAAAGGCGAAGGCAGUGUCCUGGGUGGUCGCUGACGCUGAGAGGCGAAAGCCAGGGGAGCGAACGGG